rnacentral:rRNA from 1 species
GGUACAUCGGUGGACAGGUGGUGCAUGGUUGUCGUCAGCUCGUGUCGUGAGAUGUUGGUUAAGUCCCGCAACGAGCGCAACCCCUAUUGUUAGUUGCCAUCAUUCAGUUGGGCACUCUAGCGAGACUGCCGGUAAUAAACCGGAGGAAGGUGGGGAUGACGUCAAAUCAUCAUGCCCCUUAUGACCUGGGCUACACACGUGCUACAAUGGUUGGUACAACGAGUUGCGAGUCGGUGACGGCGAGCUAAUCUCUUAAAGCCAAUCUCAGUUCGGAUUGUAGGCUGCAACUCGCCUACAUGAAGUCGGAAUCGCUAGUAAUCGCGGAUCAGCACGCCGCGGUGAAUACGUUCCCGGGCCUU